rnacentral:rRNA from 1 species
AUUGAACGCUGGCGGCAGGCUUAACACAUGCAAGUCGAGCGGGGGAAGGUAGCUUGCUACUGGACCUAGCGGCGGACGGGUGAGUAAUGCUUAGGAAUCUGCCUAUUAGUGGGGGACAACAUCUCGAAAGGGAUGCUAAUACCGCAUACGUCCUACGGGAGAAAGCAGGGGAUCUUCGGACCUUGCGCUAAUAGAUGAGCCUAAGUCGGAUUAGCUAGUUGGUGGGGUAAAGGCCCACCAAGGCGACGAUCUGUAGCGGGUCUGAGAGGAUGAUCCGCCACACUGGGAUGAAGAAAGGGCUAAGACUCCUGCGGGAGGCAGCAGUGGGGGAUAUUGGACAAUGGGGGGAACCCUGAUUCAGCCAUGCCGCGUGUGUGAAGAAGGCCUUAUGGUUGUAAAGCACUUUAAGCGAGGAGGAGGCUACUUUAGUUAAUACCUAGAGAUAGUGGACGUUACUCGCAGAAUAAGCACCGGCUAACUCUGUGCCAGCAGCCGCGGUAA